rnacentral:rRNA from 1 species
UGCCAGCAGCCGCGGUAAUACGGAGGGUGCAAGCGUUGUUCGGAAUUACUGGGCGUAAAGCGUGCGUAGGCGGUUAGAUAAGUCGGGUGUGAAAGCCCAGGGCUCAACCCUGGAACUGCACCCGAUACUGUCUAACUUGAGUAUGGGAGAGGGAAGCGGAAUUCCUGGUGUAGCGGUGAAAUGCGUAGAUAUCAGGAGGAACACCCGUGGCGAAAGCGGCUUCCUGGCCCAUUACUGACGCUGAGGCACGAAAGCGUGGGGAGCAAACAGGAUUAGAUA